rnacentral:ncRNA from 2 species
AAUCGUGCCGCAGCGCCUGAACCGGACGCGACCAGCGUCCGGUUGACGAGGGAGGGGACCUCGAAGUAUUCGGCGGGUGACCCUAGGCCUGGUCCGGGCCUGCACGGCCUCCACUCCAUAACGCCACGGAGACCGGAGGAAAGGGGAGGCGACAAACUCCG